AAGCAUUGAGAACUUUGUAAGUGUACAGACAACGAACGCCGUGCAACGUGAGCUGAACUGAAUGCAAGUUGCACAGCGUUGGUUGUUCGACUGGUUGUGACUGUUUUGCCGCCUGUAAACAUGAAAGGUACUGUCUUUCUAAACUAUCUUUUGAACUCGGUACACGUGUUAUUAACCCCUAGGUGCAUUUUGCGCCGGAUUUGUCCUUUAAGUGAGGAAAUUGAGUGGAUGUGAUUGGGAAGAGCGUCCGUGACAAGUGUUAAGGAGGACCAUUAGAUGCUGGUGUUAGUGAGAGAUGUUUGGGGCAGAAGGUAUUAUGGUAGGGCUGUGUAAUUAACCAAGUUUUAAUCGUGAUUUUGAUUUCGGCUUUUAACAAUCACAAAAACAGAGUAAUCGAGAAAAACGAUUAUUUUGCACAUCACGUUUUGCGAGUAAACUCUUAUUUGUUAUUAAGGGAAAUUUCACAGUUCAAG